rnacentral:rRNA from 1 species
UGCGUAGGUGGUGAGGUAAGUCGGAUGUGAAAUCUCCGGGCUCAACCCGGAAAUGGCAUUGGAAACUACCUUGCUGGAGGAUUUGAGGGGGGAUUGGAAUACUUGGUGUAGCAGUGAAAUGCGUAGAUAUCAAGUGGAACACCAGUGGCGAAGGCGAAUCCCUGGAAAAUACCUGACACUGAGGCACGAAAGCUGGGAGGCAACA